rnacentral:tRNA from 1 species
AGCAGUGUAGCUCAGUGGAAAGAGCCCUGGUUUGGGAAUCAGAGGUCACGGGUUCAAAUGCCCACUCUGCUA